rnacentral:misc_RNA from 1 species
GGAUGAAGAACGUAGUAAAAUGCGAUACUUGGUGUGAAUUGCAGAAUCCCGUGAACCAUCGAGUUUUUGAACGCAAGUUGCGCCCGAAGCCUUUUGGCCGAGGGCACGUCUGCCUGGGCGUCACGCAUCGCGUCGCCCCCCACAAUUCUCCGUAAAGGGAACGUGUGUUUUGGGGGCGGAUAUUGGUCUCCCGUGCUCAUGGCGUGGUUGGCCGAAAUAGGAGUCCUUUCGAUGGACGCACGAACUAGUGGUGGUCGUAAAAACCCUCGUCUUUUGUUUCGUGCUGUUGCUCGCAAGGUAAACUCUUUAAAAACCCCAAUGUGUCAUCUCUUGACGACGCUUCGACCGCGACCCCAGGUCAGGCGGGACUACCCGCUGAGUUUAAGCAUAUCAAUAAGCGGAGGA